CAGUCGCCGCGGGAAUACGGAGGGUGCAAGCGUUAAUCGGAAUUACUGGGCGUAAAGCGUGCGUAGGCGGUUCGUUAAGUCUGUUGUGAAAGCCCCGGGCUCAACCUGGGAAUGGCAAUGGAUACUGGCGAGCUAGAGUGUGUCAGAGGAUGGUGGAAUUCCCGGUGUAGCGGUGAAAUGCGUAGAGAUCGGGAGGAACAUCAGUGGCGAAGGCGGCCAUCUGGGACAACACUGACGCUGAGGCACGAAAGCGUGGGGAGCAAACAGGAUUAGAGACCCCCGUAGUCCCUGUCUCUUAUAC
rnacentral:rRNA from 1 species